rnacentral:tRNA from 1 species
GGGCCCGUAGCCUAGGUGGAUAGGGAUAUCCAUGGUUGCCCCAAACACGGAUUAAGGCGUCAGCCUUCGGAGCUGAAGACCAUGGGUUCGAAUCCCACCGGGCCCG